CAGAGGGUGCGAGCGUUAAUCGGAAUUACUGGGCGUAAAGCGCGCGUAGGCGGCUUUUCAAGUCGAUUGUGAAAUCCCCGGGCUCAACCUGGGAACUGCAGUCGAGACUGUCUAGCUAGAGUAUGGGAGAGGGAAGUGGAAUUUCAGGUGUAGCGGUGAAAUGCGUAGAUAUCUGAAGGAACAUCAGUGGCGAAAGCGACUUCCUGGACCAAUACUGACGCUCAUGUGCGAAAGCGUGGGGAGCAAACAGGAUUAGAUACCCUGGUAGUCCACGCCAUAAACGAUGAGAACUGGAUGUCGGAGGGGUCUGCCCUUCGGUGUCGUAGCUAACGCGUUAAGUUCUCCGCCUGGGGAGUACGGCCGCAAGGUUG
rnacentral:rRNA from 1 species